rnacentral:rRNA from 1 species
ACGCUCGACACCUACGGGAGGCAGCAGUAGGAAUCUUCCACAAUGGACGCAAGUCUGAUGGAGCAACGCCGCGUGAGUGAAGAAGGUCUUCGGAUCGUAAAACUCUGUUGUUAGAGAAGAACACGAGUGAGAGUAACUGUUCAUUCGAUGACGGUAUCUAACCAGCAAGUCACGGCUAACUACGUGCCAACAGCCGCGGUAAUCUGAGCGGGCUGGCAAGGC